CCUACGGGAGGCAGCAGUGGGGAAUAUUGGGCAAUGGACGCAAGUCUGACCCAGCGACGCCGCGUGCGGGAUGAAGGCCUUCGGGUUGUAAACCGCUUUCAGCAGGGAAGAAGCGAAAGUGACGGUACCUGCAAAAGAAGCACCGGCUAACUAUGUGCCAGCAGCCGCGGUAAUACAUAGGGUGCAAGCGUUGUCCGGAAUUAUUGGGCGUAAAGAGCUCGUAGGUGGUUAGUUACGUCGGGUGUGAAAAUCUGGGGCUCAACCCCAGACCUGCACUCGAUACGGGCUAGCUAGAGUUUGGUAGGGGAGACUGGAAUUCCUGGUGUAGCGGUGGAAUGCGCAGAUAUCAGGAGGAACACCAAUGGCGAAGGCAGGUCUCUGGGCCAAUACUGACACUGAGGAGCGAAAGCGUGGGGAGCGAACAGGAUUAGAUACCCUGGUAGUCCACGCCGUAAACGGUGGGCGCUAGUUGUGGGGACCUUCCACGGUCUCUGCGACGCNGCUACGCAUAGUCGCCCGCCGUCGGGAGGUACGAGUCGCGAGAGUAAACUACAAUAAGUAGUAGUUAGCGUGAGAGUGCCGACGGCGACGACGAGGGAGGAGG
rnacentral:rRNA from 1 species